CCGCGGGUAUCCAUCGGGUAUUACCCGUUCGGACCCGUUUUGAUUCGGGUCCAAUCGAGUAGUUAUCCGUCGGGUCCUAACUUGUUAAUGGGUCCGAUUUUGGGACCCGAAACCGGACCCUAUUCGCUCGGGUCCGAUUCCGGUUCCGGAUAACGGGUACCCAUUGACAGACCUAAUUGAGACCAUAACAGAAAACACCAAUUGUACGACUCUAACAUUUUCUUCUAAAUCUUCUUAAGCAACAGCUUUCUGCAACAAAUCACAAUAAUUUUAACUCUAACAUUUGUAAUCUUCAUCCCCAACAUUGCCCCAUUCUACUGAUUUGAAUCGAACCCAAGAAUCCCCAAUUACAGCAUAGCUCCAUAAAUUCCAAUCAACUGCAGAUUCCCAAAUUUGUUUUUUUUUCGGUGUAUGAGAUAGAUAUGAAGCAUCGACUUUUACGAAUUUGUUUUUUUUUCCUACUUAAGAUUCAGUUUUUUCAUGAAAUCUAUCUAAACUGAAAACUUAGGGUUCCAUAAAUUUGAUACUCUGAUAUGAAUUGUGUUGAAAUAUAAUAAUUGAUACUCUGCUAUGAAUUGGGUUUCCUUUCAAAUCGAGUUUUGUCACUCUAAUUUGUGUUUAAUCGAUUUUUUAAUUUUCCUUCUUUCAUGGCAAAGAGAGGAAUUCAGGUAAAGAAGAAGGAAUAGAGGAUGGGUUCUGCUGGAAGAUGGCAUCAAUUAAUGAUAGUUUUUAGUUUGUUUUGCUUCCGAAAGAAAUUUGUUGGGAAGGUGUUUUGUGAUGUGUAUUUGUAAUGGAGAAAUUGUAGCUGCAGGGAUGGAUGGUAUUGGCAGUAAAGGAGAUGGUGAUUGUGCGACCUCUUGCUUGCAAACAUCAUCUGCAAAAUGGGUGAACUUGCCUGAAGAAAUCAAAUUAUUUGCUGAAAAGACUUGAUGCAGUUCCUUGGCCCUUACAAAUUAUUUGAGCAAAUAGCUGCAUUCAAAAAAAGAGAGAUCAAGCUGAAGAAACAAAAAAGAGAGCUGAUCUCCCGUAGUCUUCAUCGGUUUCCAAGGAGGGAUCGACCGAUAUGCGAGAGACAAUAGAAAAUAUUUUUGUAUUUUCAGUUUACAUCCACUGUCCUGUAUCCCGCUUCAAUGGAGCCUGAAAACGAGAUUGACAUCAAUGUUUGAAUCCGACUCCAGACUAACGUUGACACAACAAAGCGAGAACAUUGAAACAUCAGGCAGUUUUUGUCCAGCGUAUAUUUCAUGUCAACGAUGAAUUAGAACAUCUAUAUAGUUUAAAAUCCUAAGAGAUUCUGGCAACUGGAGAACCAGCUAAGAACCAAACUGAUUUGGUUCCCUUAAUUAGAUUUCUUCGUGAGGACUUUUAUAUGAAGUGAGCUUGAAGUAAGGCUUCAAUUGUAUAAAAAGACAAAAGUUCAAGGGAAGCCCAUUGUUCGUGUUUCUGCCGGUGCUAAUGCUCUCUCUGAAGUCCUCAUCGGUUAACUCUCAAAUUGAAGAAGGCCAAACAAUAUUGAUAUCAAAAACCUGUAAACACUUGGGCUAUCUCUGAAGCCCAUUGUUCGUGUUUUUGGAUGGUAUGAAUUGUAGUGUUUUGAUUUUGUAUUUUACUUUUGUGAAUCGGUUCUUGCUAUUGCUCCUUCUUCUCAGCAUUUUGGUCUGUAAUUUUAUUUCAAAGAUGAAGGUACUCUUUGUGACAAGCUUUGCUGCAAGAUAUUGUGCAGCGGAUAUCUACUACAAGGCCGACCGUCUUGAAUUUGGUUUUAAUCACUUCCUCUGUAUUGAUUGUUGGCCAUACGGAAUUCAGUGAUCUAAUGAAUUCCACUCAUCUCUGAAGGCUAUAUUUACUAGCAUCUAUAUUUGAUAUUUGCAUCCUCCAAGUGGGGAAGAAGUACACUGCAGCAAGCAAAAUGGCGUCACUUAACUCCAAAGAGGAUGAAAAACAAGAGGAAGAUCGUCAGAGAAAACCGGAGGCAGAGACAAAGAAGGACACAACUUCUGAGUGGAAAGUUCUCCACUAAUUUAAGGCUGUAUGGUUAUGCAGUCCUAAGAGUGACUGAAGAAGAACACUCAAAAUCCUAGCACUACCUUGCUAAGGUAAAUUGGCGUUAUUCCAAACCUCUUCAAUUUAUCUUAUAGGUUCUCAAUUUUGGAUUUUAUCAUUCCAUUAAAAUUUGAUCUCUGUUCACCUUAUUCAUAUACUUGAUUAUCUCUAUACUGUGUAGCCUUAAAAAGAUUUUUCUUUCCUCUGAGAUAGAUAAACCCUAGAAAAUCAAUUGAUUCCAGCAAAGAAAAUCAAUUGAUUCCAGUUGGAGAAGAAAUUCAAUGGGUUUGAGUAGCCGUAUCUCAGAGACUUUGGGUCUUUUUAAUUUUUCUUUAUUUGUCGCGAUUCAUCUCUGCUGCUGCGGCUUGCUAAUCUUUUCAGGAGUUUUUUGGUUUUUUGAUUUUGUGAUUUAAGAGGCAGUAGUCGAAUCAGAAAGACGAUGAAGAGGAUUAGCAGAAAAGAGGUAAACGUAUACAAACCCUAUAAUUUUAGUAACCCUAUAAUUUCGGUUGAUGUUUUUCAUCUGUUUUAGUUAUAGUCUUAUCAAAUCGGUUUGGGUUCUCAGAUAACGACCAUUCUAAUCCAAUUUAAUUCUCAGUAGAUCGAAGUUAACACUAGGUAAGAUUUUUAUCUUCUUAAUUCGAGUUAAGAAAUUCAAACGGUACCAGAAACACCAAUCUCAAGGUGGAAUUGUGUUACUUUGAAUGCGUAAAAGGCCUGUUGCCGAUUGGCGAUUGGUAUUUAGGGUUUUAAUCGAGAAUAGAUUGGAGUUAUAUUCAUGGUUUGUGUUGAAAUAUAUUGGGUUUUGAUGAGUUGGUGAACUGAAGCAAAGAAUUAUGGUAUUACGUACCAAAUAAGAUAAGAAAGGGUUGAGCCUGAUCUCUUUCAAAGUGAUCUAGAAUGACACCAACCCUAUAAUUGCUCAAUGUUUGUUGUCCAUCGUCGCCAGCUUGUGAUGAUGUUAUCUUCUGCCAUCAGCUGAAUUCUUCGAUUUUGCGCUGUGGUAAGCCUGCAAAUUUCUGGACAUCUAAGAAUUCAGCUGGAAAUCCUACAACCAGUAAUCUGUGAGGAUGUUUUAGCUUCAGUAUAUCUUCACCGAAGUAUGUUAGUUCCUUUAAUUCUUCGAAACCAUCCCUUCCAAGCAUGUGUUCCCAAUCAAAUAUUGAAUCGUCCCAAGUCUCCAUAAGAUCCUUUAUAGCUGGUGGCAAGUUUUGCUGGCAAGGAAGAUACACAUUAAAUACAAUAGUAAAGUUGGUUUCAAACAAAGAAACACUUUCUAAAAGCUGUAUGGGAAUUUUAAAAUUCUAAAAACUGUACCUCAUUGUAAGUAAGGUUGUCCUCUAUCCAGCAAAACUCAGAAACUUUUUUCAGAGUAUUAUUGUUGGCAAACCAAGAUUGUUUAGCUUUUUAGGGUUUUAAGGAUGUGGCUUCAGCUCUUUAGGAUCAGAUGCUUCGUUUUUGUCUAUUUUAGUUAUCAACAAAUCUAUAUCUCCUCCUGAUUCGUAUGCUGCUAUAUGAAACCAAACAUCCAUGCCUAUGUUCCAUCUGUUAUGAUCAAUAUGAAACCAAACAAAUAGCUUGAUAAUAUGCUUAAAUAUACCAAAGAAAGAGCAUGAUAAUGAAACCCUAAUUAUAACUAAAUCAUAGUUCUAGUUUUGAUAGAUUUUUUACUAAUUGGCAGAAGGUAUCCAACUCAUAGUAAAAGGCUUUGAUACAUAACCAUCCAUUCUCCAUUCCAUGCAUUUCUCAUGUGUUGCCUGGAAUACAUCAGUUGUCAUGGCUAGUACUGAUGUGUGCCAGUUAGGAACAUUCCCAAACAUCUCUUAUCAAUAAUAGUCUGUAUUGGACCUUCGGUAACCAUAGAGGACCGAAUCUGGUGUGAAUCGAACACACAACCUUCUGACUUGGUGUCAGACGCACUACCAUUGUGCCACAGACUCAUAUUCAUUAAUGUGCGGUUUGAACCAUGGAAGUCUGUUAAAUUAAUUUACAGUGGCUGUGUUUGUAAUGUUAAAUUAAGAUUCUGUUUGGUAGUACUCACCUAUAGAUGUCUUGAUUACAGAAUACCAAGACCAACAUGCAGAACCACAUUGACACUGUCAUCCUACAUAACACCAUACACAAAAGACAACUGAUUCAUGUUAGUGUUUUUCCCAAAGCCAUUAAGUGAAUGCAGGGAAUAUUAGUGACAGUUAACUCUGUUUGAUACUAAUGAUCAAUUUGUGUUUGUAUGCAAGAUAAACUGGAGGAGGAAAUACUGGGAACUGUUAAAGUGCACAAUAUGAGUAGCAUUGAGAUGGGAUCCUGGAAAACUGGGUACCUGUUUCAACGAUUUUUAAUCCCAAUUGAAAAAUGUCAAGAAGGCUAUGGUUAUUUCAAUCAUUGGCUACAUACAUGACAAAGAGUAUACAUGGUAAUGGUACCUUUCUUUUAUGUCAAGCACCUCAUGAAUGGCAAGGUUGAAGAUGACCUUGGUGGCAUCGUGGAGGACAAACCUACAAGAUGAAAUAACAUAAGUUGCUAAGCUAGGGCGAUUAAAGUUUAGUACAACGAAAAAGUAGGUGGGAUGAUUUACCUUGAUAUUUUCUGACAACGCAAAGCAAGGAAUCGAAUUUCCAAUACUGCUGGAGCAUUGAAUCCUAAUAUAAAAAAGGGGACGAAUUGAAUACGGCAAAGAAUGUUAAAUGUGCAAAUGAGUACAUUUCUGAGACUUUUGAGUGGUAAUACGAAAUAUAUGUUAAAAAUAUAGAUUAAUCGAAAAAGCACCUCUUACCGUCA